CAUGUGAACAUCACUUGGACAUGAGUUAGUCGAUCCUAAGAUAUGAGGAAUCCUUGUAUCAAGGGUGCACUCUGCAUGAACAUCGAAAGAGAAUUGGGUUAAUAUUCCCGAACCAGGACAUGGUGGUGGAAUACAAUGUUAGGAAAUCUAGAGAUGUCAUCGAGGGCCUGGGAAAAGUUAUCUUUUCUUUUUAAGGACUUUCCCACCCUGAAAUCGGUUCAACUAGAGAUAGGGUCCAACACCUAGAAGAGAAACAAACGUCUUGCAGUGUUUGGUGCCCCCUCAGUGGCCAUUGAAAAUAUGGAGAAUUGAGUACCAUCCAUGCCCAAUCAUACUCAUAUCUUCCUCGUUGGA
rnacentral:ncRNA from 1 species